GGGCGGGUGGCGUAAUUGGUAAACGCGCUGGUCUUAGGAACCAGUGGAGAAAUCCGUGGGAGUUCAAGUCUCCCCCCGCUCA
rnacentral:tRNA from 1 species